ensembl:lncRNA
CCCCUCAGUGAGAUCAUUAACAAGACUGGCUACGGAUACCGACUACGGAACGGAGCGGUUGUCAGCCAUCUCCUGUACAUGGAUGACAUCAAGCUGUAUGCCAAGAGUGAACGAGACAUCGAUUCACUGAUACACACUACCAGGAUAUACAGCAAUGACAUUGGAAUGUCAUUCGGACUGGAGAAGUGUAGUCGGAUGGUAACAAAGAGAGGGAAGGUAGUCAGAACUGAGGGGAUUGAACUACCAGAAGGCAACAUUGCAGACAUAGAGGACAGUUACAAGUACCUGGGGAUCCCACAGGCGAAUGGGAACCAUGAAGAGGCUGCUAGGAAAGCUGCAACCACCAAGUACCUGCAGAGGGUCAGGCAAGUCCUGAGGAGUCAGCUGAACGGUAAGAACAAGAUCCGGGCCAUCAACACCCACGCCCUGCCCGUGAUCAGGUACCCUGCUGGGGUAAUAGGCUGGUCGAAGGAGGAGAUAGAAGCCACUGACAUAAAGACAAGAAAGCUCCUUACCAUGCAUGGAGGGUUUCACCCCAAGUCCAGCACCCUGAGGCUGUACGCUAAGCGGAAGGAAGGGGCUGAGGACUGGUGAGUGUCAGCACCACAGUCCAGGAUGAGACAACGAACAUCCAAGAAUACAUUGGGAAGAUGGCCCCAACUGACCGAGUGCUCAGUGAAUACCUCAGGCAGCAGAAACCCAAGAAAGAGGAGGGAGACGAGGAACCAUCAUGGAAGGACAGGCCCCUGCACGGUAUGUACCACCGGCAGAUAGAGGAGGUGGCUGAUAUCCAGAAAUCCUACCAGUGGCUGGACAAAGCUGGACUGAAAGACAGCACAGAGGCACUAAUCAUGGCAGCACAAGAACAAGCUCUGAGUACAAGAUCCAUAGAGGCUGGGGUCUAUCACACCAGGCAAGACCCCAGGUGCAGGCUGUGUAAAGAUGCCCCUGAGACAAUCCAGCACAUAACAGCAGGGUGCAAGAUGCUAGCAGGCAGGGC